GCAAUUCAGCUCCAAUAGCGUAUAUUAAAGUUGUUGCAGUUAAAAAGCUCGUAGUUGAAUUUCGGGAUCAAUAUUUCGGUCAUGCCGUUGGUAUGCACUGUUAUCAUUGAUUUCUCACCUUCUAAAGAACCGUAAUGCCAUUAAUUUGGUGUUACGGGGAAUUAGGACUGUUACCUUGAAAAAAUUAGAGUGUUUAAAGCAGGCUCACGCUUGAAUACAUUAGCAUGGAAUAAUGAAAUAGGACAUCCGAUUCUAUUUUGUUGGUUUCUAGGAUCGAUGUAAUGAUUAAUAGGGAUAGUUGGGGGCAUUAGUAUUCAAUUGUCAGAGGUGAAAUUCUUGGAUUUAUUGAAGACUAACUACUGCGAAAGCAUUUGCCAAGGAUGUUUUCAUUAAUCAAGAACGAAAGUUAGGGGAUCGAAGACGAUCAGAUACCGUCGUAGUCUUAACCAUAAACUAUGCCGACUAGGGAUCGGAUGAUGUUAAUUUUUUAAUGACUCAUUCGGCGCCUUACGGAAC
rnacentral:rRNA from 1 species